UUAUUGUAUGUGCAUUUUCCCUCUUUAAAA
rnacentral:piRNA from 1 species